GCCCUUCUUCUUCCUCUCAAAACGUGUAGCCACAACACAAUAACCCCUCCCCGUUUUUCUAUUCUUCUUCCUUGAUGUCUACCAAGCACGUGAGCAGCGAAGGCGGGUGCGACAGAAGAGCAACAAGAAUAGUACGCUAUCCUCUGUUGUUUUCCUUCCUCCCAGUACUGUCCCAUCAGUACGUCUACAGCGACCAGGCAUGCGUUAUCUUCUUUUCGGGCUCAAGAUUGAGCCACGUAAUGCGAAAAGAACGACAUUUUGAUCUGGAACGUCGUUCUCCCUUGCCUCAUUAGGGAAUACGUCAAAAGCUUCCAAAAGGUGGUUUCUCUGGAAAGGGCAAAGAAUUAAAACUUGAAUUCAAAAUGGGCAUGGAACCCAUUUCCCAUCUGUAUUUACCAAAAAUUUGUAACCCUAAAGUUCUCAUAUAUAAUGUCUCUUUUGUUCUUCCGAACGGGGGGAUUUUCUUUUGAAGUCGGAAUUUUGGAAGAAACACAUCGAGAGAAACUUCAAGAAAAGUCUAACCAAAGGAAAACAUAGAAAAUUUCAAGGUAGAGUGUUUUUUAGUUUUUAGGGAAGCAUCACAUUUUCUAUCGAUUUGCGUCGGUUUCCUCCGAGUUUAGUGGAGAUUUGAGUUUCGAGGUUGGAAGUUCGUGGUCUUUCUCGUGUUUUCUUGUUCGCUGCCCUCGAAAAGGUUUAAGAGGUUGAAGAUUUCGCUUUUGGGCCGGAGUUGAAGAAAUUGGGUCUAAGCCCAAAUUUAUUUUGAAAAUAUUGUAUUUUGUUAUCUAUGGGCCUAAGCCCUUGUUGUCUCUCCUUUUCCGUAUUUAUUAUUCAUUACUGUAUGAUUAAUUAAGGACAUGUGGAAACGAAUCAAAAAUCCAAGAAGCAAAUGGGUCCAAAUACUGGUACAGGCGGAUAGAAACCGGUUUCGACCCAA